AGGGAGGGAGGGACGGAGGGGGAGGAGGUUGCAGAGAGGGGAAAAGAAGAAGAAGAAGAAGAAGAAGAAGAAGAGAAAAAACAGGCAGUCGAGGGCCUGGGAUCAGUGCUGUCCGUGCUCGGAUUACCUCCGUGGUUUGAAUUGAACUCUCAUCCUGCUGCUUGUGACAUGACGCUGUACGGCCGCUGUUGACACCAGACCCUUGUUUAACCCUCCAACAUUGUCAAGCCUCAUUAUACGUCAGCUCUUGACCCUCACAAGACUGGAAAUUAACCAGUGCUGACAGACGACUGUCACCACCGGCCAGGGAGGUCACUGCCGUUAAUGCAGUUCCAGGACGGGAAGAUGACAGCCAUCUAUGCCGUGUUUAUGGAGCCCAGGCCCAUCAACGUGGGAUCAUGAUAGAGCUGUAAUGUAGAGACGGACAAAGAGAAAUAAAGUAAGAGAAAAAGAAAUAAAGGGUCAGAGACACAGACACAGAUAUUCAAGCGUGGCACAUUGACCGGUUGAAAGAUGGCUAUUUUAUAUGAUUGAUAGAGCAUGUCUGUGUUUCUCAAGUAUUGACAUUUUUGAAAAAUAGUGAUGUCAGAAGUAAGGUUUAGCUUAGUGUAUACCCAGCCCACACACAAUCCAGGGAAUACCUCUUAAAAACAAAAAAAACCCAUCCACUCACAGUGUGAAAUUCUAAUAAUUGUCCUCGCUUCAUUGUUGAAUGGUAUGAAAUCUGUCACAGUACAUGAACCAUAAUCAUAAAUCCAAUGCAACUACUGUGCAAAUGGCCAGGGACAUUACAGAUAACUGCAUUCUGCACAGGCUCAACAGUGUGACAAUGAAGCAAUACCUUGCUAAUACCAGGACUUUUCAACAAUAGCCUGUAGUAUGUACUGCAGCGCUUCACAGCUUCAGUGAGCCAAGAGGCUUCGAGUCGGCAGAAUCCCAAACAUCAUGACAACAAGCCAUCAGUCAUCUUCCCCCCAAGCUGCUGUGCACACUUGUGUGUUUCCGGAGUUCUUACUGUGGGAAAUGAGCAGGGUUAAACAUGAAACAGGAGGAAAUGUUCAUCAUUGCAGCACAGUCUGCAUUAUUCCCCCUCAUACGGCAUUGUUUUCGCUGCAGGGAAAGAGAAGGAGUGGUUUUUAAUUUUUUUUUUUGCUUAAACAUCCCCUGCUUGUUCACAAUGCAGAUCAGUACUCUACUGUGCAUGCUAAUCAUGGUUAAUAGCAAAAUGCUGAUAGAAAAAUGACACUGUAUUAAGAAAGCACUAAUCUUCUGUUGAGAUUCAGGAAGGAUUAUUACUGCAGUCAAAAAAGGAAAAAUGUCAACCAUGGUGACGUUUGAGAGUUAAAAGUCUAGAUAAUCAAGGUAUUGGAUAAUGACGACAUCUAUAUAUUAGUUUAAUGUCAUUUAUUUCCAAUUAAGUAUGUUUAAUUAUCUUUUUUCUCACUGUCUGAUAUUAAAAUAUAAUCUGUGUCAGCUCGUUCCUGUUCUCUAUUGAAGCUAUAUGAUGUGAAGAAUUCCAAUUCCAACCAUCGGCUCCAUGAAAUUUAUGGCUGCAUAUUCCAUCAAAUGGAAAUAUUCUAGGUGUCUCGUGCAUCAUUUUAUACGCAUUUCCCGAAAAUGCAGGCUGACAUAUUUUGUAUCUUUGGAAACUUUGGUCUCUCUAGUAGAAUUCAAAAUAAAGUUAACUGGCUUAGA